GCGCGGGUAGUAUAGUGGUUAGUAUGUCGCGUUGCCAACGCGAUGACCCGGGUUCGACUCCCGGCUCGCGCA
rnacentral:tRNA from 2 species